rnacentral:rRNA from 1 species
AGUUUGAUCCUGGCUCAGAUUGAACGCUGGCGGCAUGCCUUACACAUGCAAGUCGAACGGCAGCACGGGAGCAAUCCUGGUGGCGAGUGGCGAACGGGUGAGUAAAGCAUCGGAACGUGCCCAGUAGUGGGGGAUAGCCCGGCGAAAGCCGGAUUAAUACCGCAUACGACCUAAGGGUGAAAGCGGGGGAUCGCAAGACCUCGCGCUAUUGGAGCGGCCGAUGUCAGAUUAGGUAGUUGGUGGGGUAAAGGCCUACCAAGCCGACGAUCUGUAGCUGGUCUGAGAGGACGACCAGCCACACUGGGACUGAGACACGGCCCAGACUCCUACGGGAGGCAGCAGUGGGGAAUUUUGGACAAUGGGCGCAAGCCUGAUCCAGCCAUGCCGCGUGCAGGAAGAAGGCCUUCGGGUU